ACUGGGGAUAAUUCCGGAUAGGCCACAGAUGCUGGAAUGCACUGUGGCUCAAAGCUCCGGCGCCGAAGGAUGGGUCUGCGGCCUAUCAGGGUUGUAGUGGGUGUAAUGUACCUACUAGCCUACGACGGGUACGGGUUGUGAGAGCAAGAGCCCGGAGAUGGAUUCUGAGACACGAAUCCAGGCCCUACGGGGUGCAGCAGGCGCGAAAACUUUACAAUGCGGGAAACCGUGAUAAGGGAAUCUCGAGUGCCAGCAUAUAAUGUUGGCUGUCCAGAUGCCUAAAAAGCAUCUGUUAGCAAGGGCCGGGCAAGACCGGUGCCAGCCGCCGCGGUAACACCGGCGGCCCGAGUGGUAGCCGCUUUUAUUGGGUCUAAAGGGUCUGUAGCCGGCCAUAUAAGUCCCUUGGGAAAUCUGGCAGCUCAACUGUCAGGCUGCUAGGGGAUACUGCUUGGCUUGGGACCGGGAGAGGUGAGAGGUACCUUGAGGAUAGGGGUGAAAUCUUGUGAUCCUCGGGGGACCACCAGUGGCGAAGGCGUCUCACCAGAACGGGUCCGACGGUAAGGGACGAAAGCUAGGGGCACGAACCGGAUUAGAUACCCGGGUAGUCCUAGCCGUAAACGAUGCUCGCUAGGUGUCAGUCACGGUGCGACCGUGAUUGGUGCCGUAGGGAAGCCGUGAAGCGAGCCACCUGAGAAGUACGACCGCAAGGCUGAAACUUAAAGGAAUUGGCGGGGGAGCACUACAACGGGUGGAGCCUGCGGU
rnacentral:rRNA from 1 species